rnacentral:tRNA from 1 species
GGGCGUUUAGCUCAGUUGGUAGAGCGCUACCCUUACAAGGUAGACGUCACAAGUUCGAGUCUUGUAAUGCCCACCA